rnacentral:rRNA from 1 species
AUUGAACGCUGGCGGCAUGCCUUACACAUGCAAGUCGAACGGCAGCGGACCUUCGGGUGCCGGCGAGUGGCGAACGGGUGAGUAAAGUAUCGGAACGUACCUUUCAGUGGGGGAUAACGUAGCGAAAGUUACGCUAAUACCGCAUAUUCUGUGAGCAGGAAAGCAGGGGAUCGCAAGACCUUGCGCUGAUUGAGCGGCCGAUAUCAGAUUAGCUAGUUGGUGAGGUAAAGGCUCACCAAGGCGACGAUCUGUAGCGGGUCUGAGAGGAUGAUCCGCCACACUGGAACUGAGACACGGUCCAGACUCCUACGGGAGGCAGCAGUGGGGAAUUUUGGACAAUGGGGGCAACCCUGAUCCAGCCAUGCCGCGUGAGUGAAGAAGGCCUUUGGGUUGUAAAGCUCUUUCGGCCGGGAAGAAAUCGCUUAGGUUAAUACCCUGAGUGGAUGACGGCACCGGAAUAAGAAGCACCGGCUAACUACGUGCCAGCCGCCGCCGUAACAC